AGCAGUAGGGAAUCUUUGGCAAUGGACGAAAGUCUGACCGAGCAACGCCGCGUGAGUGAAGAAGGUUUUCGGAUCGUAAAACUCUGUUGGUAGAGAAGAACGUUGGUGAGAGUGGAAAGCUCAUCAAGUGACGGUAACUACCCAGAAAGGGACGGCUAACUACGUGCCAG
rnacentral:rRNA from 1 species